AGCGGGCCGAACGACCGCGGGCACAAGGCGAAAGCCUGUGCGUGAGGAAAGUCCGGGCUCCACAGGGCAAGGAUAACGGGUAACGCCCGCCAGGGGUGACCCUCGGACAAGUGCAACAGAGAUAUACCGCCGGCGGCUUUGUCUGCCGGUAAGGGUGGAAAAGUGAGGUAAGAGCUCACUCGUCGCGUGGAGACACGUGGACGCUGUAAACUCUAUCCGGAGCAACACCGUGGGAGGACACAUGGCCGGCCCGGCCGUCCUCAGGAGGUGGCUUGAACCUGCCGGUAACGGCAGGUCUAGAUAGAUGGUCGUUUUCAACAGAACCCGGCUUACAGGCCCACUCA
rnacentral:RNase_P_RNA from 1 species